UCCCACGGUGGCAGGUCAGUCACUAAAUCCUGUCCACUCAGAGAGUGUCUGCAGGCAGCAAGCUGGUCUCUGCCUCUGGGCUCCUUGGAGAAGGUUGAUACAGAUUUUGGGGAAAGGAAGACAGAAUGAGUCUGGAACUUUCGUAACACUAAGGAAGGAAACCAUCGGAGAUCACUAUGGUCACCGCAGAAGAACCCAGGAGUAGAAGAGGUGGCAGCUCAGCUACAGUGACAGAAAGUAAGUCAGUGGUUGUUGGGGACCCAGAUUUGGGGAAGGGGAAUGGAUUACAACAGGAUAUGAGGCUGAGUUUGCUAGUUUUCUUCUUGAAGAGUUCUACAUCCCAUUGUGGGAGGGGAGGGUCCUGGUGAACCUGAACCACAGAUGAAGGCUGAUGUGUUUGUUGACAGGUUUGAUAAACUGGGGACUUGACCACCUGCAGGCUUCCUGGAGUGGCCAGCUGGGGCAGAGCCUGGGUGCAGGGGGCAGAGACGGAAAACAGCCCUGUUACGGGCUGCUGCCUCCACCCUGUUACAGGAGCCCUCCUCCCUGAUGACCCAUUUUUCUCAGCUCCUGACACAUAUUUUGAAUGUCUACAUAACCUGUCCACUGAAUGUCUCAGAGGCUCUCAGCUUUCCCAGAUCCCAGGCUUAUUCCUCGAUGUCUUUCCCCUGCCUCCUAAAAAUUAAAGUUACUUUCGCUGUUUCCAUAUAUUGGAAACGUUUCCACCUUCCUCUCAGUUGCUCAACUCAGGACAUGGAAUGAACCUCAACUCUUUCCUUUUCUUGAGCUCCCAACACCCAGCCUAUCAACAAGGACUGUCAGUCCCACCUUUAGGUAUGUCCCAAAUUGUCCUCUUGUCUCCCUGCCCAGCAGACUACCCACACAUCUCUUUUGGGCCAUGACAAUGGCUUUCAUACUCGUCCCCCGCAGACACACUCUCCGCACAGCAUCCUCAGCGCCUUAUAAUGCAGACCAGACCCUAUCUCUGUGGAUGCUUUAGUGGUUUAAAAUCCUGCGUGCCCCCUGCAGGGUUCUACAGAUGGUCCCGUCCCUCUGGGAUCAUGUGCCACUCCCUUUGCUGCUGAUUUCUUGAAAAUUCCUCCUCAUUAACCUGAGGGUCCUUCCGUACUUGGAAUGCUCCCAGUGAGACACACCCCAUGCUCUGGUUCCCAUUAGUUUUGUUACCCACCACUUUAUCCCCCAUUGAAGAUCUCCGUGAACAUUUGUUGGAUGAAUGAAUGAAUGAAUCUCACACCGCUGACAUCAUACCAACCCUUUUGUUAAAUGCCUUUAAAAGCCUCCCAUUUCCUAUCAGACUCUACGUUGAGUCUGGAGUCAAAGCUGCUUACAUACUCCCCUCCCAUCUAUUUUCUCAGCCUCCUAUCCCAUACCUCCCCCCACACCCUAUGCCAGUUCCACAGCAGCCUAGCUACAAUUUUCCUGGCCUCUGCAGCUCCAUUUUUCCUAUUAAAACUUUAUCAUCCUGUAAAGGUCAGCUUCAACUCACCCUUUUGUGGUGAUAUCUUUCCUGCUUCCAGAAGCCGGUUAACAUUUGCUGGUAAUGCUCCCAAGCUCUGGCUUCUUUCUGCCUUACAGUAACUCAGGGGCUUUCCUAUCUUCUUUUUCCACUAGUUUGAAAGAAGAAAAAUCUCUCUGUUGUUUUGUACUUUUUUUUAAUAUUCUAAGAUUGUAGCUCAUAGGAAUUGCUACAGUUAUUGAAUUAAUGAAAGCAUUAUCUGGUUAAAAUAUGGUCCCCUGCAGUUAUAAGAUUCUGUCCCAUGGAUCUUUUACAGCAUGAAUGUAUGUUUCUCAGUAUAAAGCUUUUGCUAAGGAAUUCACUUUAAACCUUUCCAUGGAUUGAUUCCCCUGGGAGCUUUCUAUCACUCGUUUAAUGGUGGGGACCUGGUGACAACUAUAAUGGGGAAAAGCAAGAUUCUGCCCUGGUGCACAAUGGGCUUUGCACAGUCUGGCUUUUGAGUUCUCUUUGCAAAUGGAAAACUUCAAGGCUGAGAAGAUAGACUAUUUCCAUUUGUUUUACAUUAUAUUUGAGGACCUAAAUAUAAAUAUUCCAGCUAUUCAUCUCAGCAUGAUUUGGUUAUGGAAACAUAAUCGGAAUUGUUUAAGAGACAGAGGUGGCUUCUAUUUUGGUCCUGGCACAGGAAAUUCAGCCUUUGUCCAUUUUCACAGUUUGAUUUAUGUGAGGUUAAAAAUUCAUAGUGUAGGAGCUAACCUCAAGCAAAUAUUGUUCUUUGCAUGAGCCAAUUCAAACGUUCUCUCGUCUCGGGUUUCCUGUUCAAAGGUUUAGAAAUGUGGAGUUCAGCUGAGGCUAACCUAUUUGAUCUACUGAAAGUCAGCCGGCCUUCAUCGUGUUCCAGGGGCUGGGCCCUAGGUGGCAAGGGGCGGGGCUGGGGCCAUGCCUCUUGCAAGUGCCCUUUCUAUGCCUGAUGUUUGUCAUCUUAUUUCAUCUUAGGACGUAGGCCUGAUUAUCUUUACUUGCCCGAAGCAGAAACUGACAUAGGUUAAGCAACCUGCCUGAUGAGCUUGCACCACUGCUGAAUGGCCAGCCUGCCUGGCACGACCAAAUGCUGUGGGCUGGGUUUUCCGGGAUGAUGGAGAUGUCUUGGCUCACAGCCAGCCAUCCUGAUGCAGAGAAUUCAAGUGUGCGUUUCAUCUCAGCCCUGACCCCCAAGGAAGGACGGUCUUUGUUUUCUUCCUGACCACCACACCCUGGGGCCCUGUGGUUUGUGAAAGUCAGAUACAUGAGAGUAUCUGACUUUUAAAGGGUGACUGCACGUUUUGCUGUGGCCAGGGGGCAACUCAGCCCCCUUCCCCAUGGGCUGCUAUGGAUGCUUCACUUUUCCUUCAGCCCAGCCAGGCUCUUGCUGGUCCUGUGCACAGCCCCGCCCCGCCCACAGACCCCUCUGGUUGUCUGGAAGCGACAUUCCCCAAAGCCGCUUCAUCCGUGCUGUGUCCCCCUCGCCACUUUCACAUUUUGCCGGCAGGGGCCCAGGGACAAGACGUGCCUGUCCCAGGAUCCUGCACAGGAUCGUGUGUGUGCAUCCAGGCCCUGGAGACCAAACAGCACUGCACCUGCUCACAACCCUCCCCUGACUCUGGGCUGUGGGAGCCAAGUGAUUAAGAAACAACGACCAAGCAAAACACCAGUGUAGGCAGACAGGGAGACGAAGGUGGCAGAGAGACCCGUGGGAGGCUCUCCAUGUCAGUGCCGGACCGAGUCAGGGAGUGCCAACCUCACUCUGAUGCACCACCCCUAGGGGUUUGAUGGACCCUCUCCAGCUUCCUCUUCUUUCCAGUAAACGAGGACACAGAUUCAUGGCUUGUGUAGAGCUGCCUGACCAGGCCUGGAUGUUCUCUUCCACUUCCCAACAAGACAUCCUGAAAAUAGAAGCAUCUACCACCUUUGAAAAGUAGGGCCUGCACCGGACCUGGAGUUUGCUUGGAGUGACAUUUGUAUAUUUUAUAGAGAUCAGAAGCUUUGGUUGAGGAGCGAUCCACGUCCAUUGUUUGCACGAGCACAGCCUGGUGAGCACAGCCUGGUUCCAUAUUGAGCGUGGCUGCGAGCAGCAGGGCACAGACCACAGAUCAGGGUCCCUUUGCCUCUGCCAGGUGCCCUGCAGACCCUGGGGAGGUCGGAAUGGAUGAAAACGUCUCUGAUGGAGCCAAGAUUUAAUCCCUGGGGGAAGAGCUCACCACACACCAGGCAAAAUUAAUUAAAGCAGAUCAACAGUAGACAUAUGAUCUCUUUUGUCAUCUAAAGUAAUAUUCUCAGGUCCCAGGGAUUCAGAACUGCAUAUCUUUGGGGGCUGUUAUUCAACCUAUUGCAAUGAUAAAAUUUGUCCAUGAGAAGAACUUAUGCAAGAUUUGGAAAGCAGAAGUGAUCAUUGCCAGUCCUGAGCCCAAGCCUUAAGAGGCAUCAUGAGCUUCCAUUUGCCUUCCUUUACUUCUGGCACCGUAAGGAGAAGAAUAUGUCCCACCAGGCCCUGGAUCCCGAGGAGGAUGAGAGACACGUGGAGCAGAGCCUCCAGAACCUGAAGCAAGAGCCACCCCAGUCUGACUCACAAACUGAGCAAGAAAGUAUUCAUACUUGUCUGCCACUGAGAUUUUGUCAUUGUUCGUUACACAGCACUUCCGUGACACUAGUUAACCAACACAGAUGCACAGACUUUCUUAAUUUUCUAUCCUUGUUUUCUUUCCUUAGUUUUUUUCACAAAAGCCAUAUUUCACUGUAAUAGUGAGAUAUCUCAAGCACUUUUUGGAAAAAGGUGAAGUAUAGAUAAGAAUACUAAUGAAAUAUUUUGGAGAAUGCUACUUAAUCCUUUUUGGUCUCCAUGAGUGGUUCAGAUGAUUUUUAGAAUGGCAUUGUGUGACUGAUCUUAAUGCACUUUGGAAUGUAGCCAUUAAGGAGAAGUCUAGGAUAAAGAAGUCAAAUGAGAAUAAUGUCAAAUCACUUCAUCCACAGAGAGAAGAAUUUUGGAGCAAGAAGCCAGAAAGAAUAUUUCAAGCAGGUGAUGUAUCUUAAAGUCAUGCAAAUGAGGUAAUGGCCAAGUUGAGGAUAGUCACUGGUGUGUGGAUUUGUCCUACUCUUUUUUUUCCAAGGGAUCUCAUGGUUAUAUGUUUUUUAUACAUAAAA